rnacentral:lncRNA from 1 species
ACAUAAGCAAGAUAGUUCAAGCCGUGAUUUGUCAUAAGUGCGAUGAUUAUGGCUUACAGCUCAUGAAAACCCCAAAUCCACAAUCUCAGUAAAUUAGAAUAUUGUGAAAAGGUGCAAUAUUCUAGGCUCACAGUGUCCCACUCUAAUCAGCUAAGUAAGCCAUAACACCUGCAAAGGGUUUCUGAGCCUUUAAAUGGUCUCUCAGUCUGGUUCAGUAGGAAUCACCAUCAUGGGGAAGACUGCUGACCUGACAGUUGUGCAGAAAACCAUAAUUGACACCCUCCAUAAGGAGGGAAAGCCUCAAAAGGUAAUUACGAAGGAAGUUGGAUGUUGUGUAGUGCUGUAUCAAAGCACAUUAAUAGAAAGUUAUGUGGAAGGGAAAAGUGUGGAAGAAAAAGGUGCACAAGCAGCAGGGAUGACCGCAGCCUGGAGAGGAUUGUCAGGAAAAGGCCAUUCAAAAGUGUUGGGGACUUUCACAAGGAGUGGACUGAGGCAGUGCAUCAAGAGCCACCACACACAGACGGAUCCUGGACAUGGGCUUCAGAUGUCGUAUUCCUCUUGUCAAGCCGCUCCUGAACAACAAACAACGUCAGAAGCAUCUUACCUGGGCUAAAGAAAAACAAAUCUGGUCUGUUGCUCAAUGGUCCAAAGUCCUCUUUUCUGAUGAGAGCAACUUUUGCAUCUCAUUUGGAAACCAAGGACCCAGAGUCUGGAGGAAGAAUGGAGAGGCACACACUGCAAGAUGCUUGAAGUCCAGUGUGACGUUUCCACGGUCUGUGUUGAUUUGGAAAGCCAUGUCAUCUGCUUGUGUUGGUCCACUGUGCUUCAUUAAGUCCAGGGUCAACGCAGCCGUCUACCAGGAGAUUUUGGAGCACUUCAUGCUUCCUUCCGCAGACGAGCUUUAUGGGGAUGCUGACUUCAUAUUCCAGCAGGACUUUGCACCUGUCCACACUGCCAAAAGCACCAAAGCCUGGUUCAAUGACCGUAGGAUUACUGUGCUUGAUUGGCCAGCAAACUCGCCUGACCUGAACCCCAUAAAGAAUCUAUGGGGCAUUGCCAAGUGAAAGAUGAGAGACAUGAAACCAAACAAUGCAGAAGAGCUGAAGGUCGUUGUUGAAGCAUCCUGGUCUUCCAUAACACCUGAGCAGUACCACAGGCUGAUAGCUUCCAUGCCACGCCGCAUUGAGGCAGUAAUUGCUGCAAAAGGGGCCUAAACCAAGUACUGAGUCCAUAUGCAUGCUUACACUUUUCAGAGGUCCGAUAUUGUUCUAUGUACACUCCUUGUUUUAUUGAUUGCAUGUAAUAUUCUAAUUUACUGAGAUUGUGGAUUUGGGGUUUUCAUGAGCUGUAAGCCAUAAUCA